CUCUGGAAUGAAGUUGGUUCAAUAUAAACAAAGUAGCUCAGAUGUAGUAAAGGACUUUAGCCAUGUUGCUGUAGCUUAGCUUGCUACGUUUCUCCUGGGGGUAGCUUCAGUGUAGUGAAGCUUCAUUUAAUGUAGAGUUAACUGGUAGCUUGGCUCACUACAUUUUCCAAGUGGUUUGUCCAACACUGUAAACACUAGUGUUUUGUUUUUUUAUUAUAAAUACAAUUGUUAAAUAUUUAAAGCAAAACAAAUGCGCACAUUUAGAUGCAUAUAAUUAUUUGCUGCUGAGAGAAACACCUUCUAGGUGCCUUUAUUCUCUGUUAACUUCAUCAUUUAGCCUCAUCUGUCUCUGUGAAAUACAGUCCUUUAUUGAUAUGAAAUUCCCAAGUCAGUUUUAUUAAGUGCAAAAUCACAAACUUGUCUCAAAGCUUUACAAUCUGUACAUCAUGUGGCCUCUCUGUCCUCAGACCCUCUGUUUCUGACAGAAAUUACUCAAUACAAGUUGAAUCUGAUCUGAGAACAGUCUGGAAACAGUUUAGUUGUUCAUGUGUGAAUGCUGGUCAAACUGUUUAUUUAGCGGGACAACAUGCAGAGGACAAUAUUUGACAUCCUGCUCUCAUAUUAGUUGUCUUCUUCUUCAAGUCUUUUUCUGUCAGACAGUGAAAGAAUCCUGGAGACAGUUGACACAGAUGAGUUUCAGCCUGUUUCUCUGUCACACUGACAAACUGAGGAACACUGCUUCAUGUUGAACAGCAGUUAGGACUCAUGUUGGAUAGAAAAUCACUCUGACUGUGUUUCUUCCUCCAGGGUGGACCAUGGUGGAGAGCAGAGGUUAAAACCUGGUCUGAGGAAGUAUCUCUGUGAACUCACACUGGACACAAACACAGCACACAGAAACCUCAAACUGUCUGACAACAACAGGAAGGUGACACAUGUGACAGAGGAGCAGCCAUAUCCUGAUCAUCCAGAGAGAUUUGACUGCUGGUGUCAGCUGCUGUGCAAAACUGGUCUGACUGGUCGCUGUUACUGGGAGGUCGAGUGGAGAGGAGGAGUUUAUAUAUCAGUGAGUUACAGAGGAAUCAGAAGGAGAGGAAAGAGUAAAGACUGUGUGUUUGGAUUGAAUGAUCAGUCCUGGAGUCUGAGCUGCUAUGAUGGUCGUUACUCUGUCUUUCACAAUAACAGAGAAACAGACCUCCCUCUCUCCUCCUCCUCCUCCUCCUCCUCCUCCUCUAACAGAGCAGCAGUGUAUGUGGACUGUCCUGCUGGCUCUCUGUCCUUCUACAGAGUCUCCUCUGACACACUGAUCCACCUCCACACCUUCAACACCACAUUCACUGAACCUCUUUAUCCUGGAUUUACGCUCUGGUUCUAUGGUUUCUCCUCAGUGUCUCUGUGUUCUGUGUAGGAGGGAGACAACUUCCAGUCCUGUGGUUUAAAUGUUGGUGGUGGACGAGGCUUCACUUUGGUUAACAUCUGGUUCACUGAUUGUGCCUUUAAUGUCAGAAAUGUGUUUUCUUAGAAAUGGUGAAAUGAUCUCAGGGCUGAACUUGUUGUGUACAAACUGUGUUGACUCUGAUUUUCACUUUAAUAAAGUUUUCUUGGAGCAGCAUCUAGUAGCUGCUGAUGGCUGCAGAGCUUCUCAUUUAUUUCAAUAAAGGUUUGGAGACAAAAA